UAGUCUCUGGAAAGUGGCUGUCCAAAUCAGUUCUUACAACGCCGGAAUCCGAGCAAGCUUUGAGACGCUGUGGUCGUUUGUCUUGUUGCGGCCGACUUGGAGCACUACUUCAUCAGAUCACAGAAGACCUGCGACUGCUGUGUAGGCCUCUGCAGAGCAAAUGAUCGGAGCAGGAUGGAUGGGACUAUAGUGAGGAAAUUCUGAAGUUCAUAGUUUAAAUUCCUGUAAAUUCUUAAAAUCACAAAUUUUAAGGAAUUGGGGAGUAUUUCAAGGGCAGGAAACAUUAGCUUUGUGUGUGUGUGUGUGUGUGUGUGUGUGUCACUCAGAACGUUGUACUGUGCAAAGGAAGUGGAACAAGGUCCAGGCAAUAAACUGAGUAAGGAAGUCCUGUGUGAGCCUGCAACGACGUGAGCACAGAACACCCGGAGGCAGUUUCCUUCUCUUUCCAAGGUCACCUCUUCUUCAGGUACUUGAAACUGUGAUCUCUAACCACACUCCUUAAGUGGGGGUUUUAACUGCAUCUGUCCCACGUCUGAGAUCACAUUUGUACCUCUGUCAUCGUCCUGGAAAUUUCCGUUCCAGCGAUCGAUUACCACGUGUUUUGUUUUAUUCCUCCAUCGGGCUUCAGUUUUGAAUUCCACAAAUCCUGAUUCAACCUCAACCUAAUGAAAGAAGGUGCCACGCCUUUCUUAGUUGCUACUCUGGAUAGUGAAGGCUUUAAGGCUUUUAGCAAUAGAGGCAGGGCAGAGGAGGCAAAGUGGGCAGAUGAUUGGCCAAAAAAACCAGCUUUUGGCUACCCUACCCCAGGGGUCUGAAAGUGACCCUAGGAAAGAGCCCUCCACAAGCUGAACUCUCCGACAGUCCCUGCGGCCCAUCAGUGAGUCACUGCCAUGAGGAGGGCAAGAGUAUGCUCUGAUUGUCCCACCCAGGGCCACGGAGCAGCAAUCCCGCUGGAGCAAUCUUGGUUCUACUGGAAGAUGACUCUGCCAUGAGUGACAGCCCCAGACCCGAGGAGCUCCAGGAGUCGAGAUCGCGUCACCCUCCACAUAGCAGGCACCUGAGCCUUGCAGCCAUCUGAGAGUUGAAGAUGGGCCUCCUGCUUUCAUCUUCAGACUCUGCUGUUCCAUCACACUGGGAGGAGAUGCUGCAUUGACAACUUCAUCUGGGACCUCAGACCCACGUGUUCCAAGGAAAGUCCACCGGAGAAUGUGAUGAGCCCACGUGGACCCUUGGAAGCAGCAGCAGGAACAGCUGUCUUCUGAGGCCCCUGCCAAGGGGCCUGAGAUUCAUGCACCAGAGACCUAAAGUAGAGAUUUCUCACCCACCCUGCCGUGAACCUUCCAAGUCACCAUAUGGCGCUUCCUGUUCUCCUGUGAGCCCCUCCCAUGAUGGUCCCUGGUGGGGAGGCCACAGCCCUAGGAAGGUUUGAGAACAGAGUCGUAGAAUGGAUCCAAGAACAAACGGUAUGGCCAAGACACAGAUGUGCUCCUGCACCCUUCCAGCAGACCCUCACACCAGCCCAGGCUGGACCCAAAAGGCCUGAGCAGUCCUCUUCUCUUUCGAGGGGGGUUUAGGAUAGAUGGCUCUGUCAGAGUCUUUCUCACGGUUUGGGAAUAAACAUACUUUCUCAGUACCCUCAAGCAGGAAAAUCUAAAGCAAGCAAUGCAAAAGCAAGUAUCAAAGACUCCAACAAUACUUCCUGAUGAACAACUUCCACGAAUUUUUCAGACCUGCUUUCUUUGCCUGAUAUAUCUGAGUUUUCUGCCUGAGGGUGAAAAAGCUGUCACCAAUGCAGUGUCCUUGAUCAAUUACCCUGCAACAGAAACCACAAAACCACAAGCUCACCCCAUCCUGGAGAAAGGAAGGGAACAUGUCACCAUUUCUACUUAUAUUAGGAUAUGGUUCCACAUAUCUUUGUUACCUGCUUGAACCUCCCUUAAGAAGGAAAAGAAGGAGAUCAUUUGCCUCAGAAACUGCUAAAUGUAAGGAAAAGGCCCUAUCAGUGGUCAAAUUCCAUCCAGAUGACAUACUUGGCCCAGUGGUGCCUUGAAUUUUAAAGCAUUUCAGAAGGAGCAGCAGUUCACAUAAUAGUUUUCUCUCUGGCUGUGGGUGUAGCAUGCCCUAGAAGCCGUGUUGGUGCAGGGUCACACUGGGGAGUCCCUGGAACCAUGCAGUCGGCCCCUCACGUGAGAGCAGAUCCCUCUGCCCUCCCGCAGGGCUGGGGAACACAUCUUCUGAGCAUGGCAGGGCAGCUUGGCUUUCCAGACUCAGGACAGUUCACACCAAGCAUGGGGCAAAAAUAACCUCGAUUUUUAUAGUCUAGUAUUUUUUUUCCAAAGCCUUGGCCCAUAAUCUUAUUAAAUGUAACGGUUCAAAAUAAGUUUCUCUGGGAAACUUUGAAAACUAGGCAGCAAGAAAGCCACCGACGAAGUCUGACAUGGUUCCUCUGCUGACCCCCUGGAAGUCGAUGUUCCCAGUCCCCCUCUCCAGGAAGGGAUGUUUCCUUGAUCUCUCUGCCUGAAUGAGGACAGACAGCCACACUUAGCUUGUUGGAAACUCAGCGAGCUCCUGAGUCUCUGUGAACGACGACCCACCUGUUGUCUCAGUCCGCAGACGGCCUCUGCUCUGGGCAGAAGAUGUGGCAGAUCAUGGCAGAAGAGUAUGGCGGGGGAAAGUGGCUCAGAACAGAGCACUGGGUAGGGGAGACAGAGAGAGAAACUCUCCUCGCCACGGACAAGAUAUAUACCCGUAAGACAGCUCCCAGUGGCCCACCUCCGCCAGCUGUUACCGCUGUUUACCGGUGACGAGUCCUUGCUUCCCCGAAUGCUGAAGUAUAACACCAGAGAAGCAGCAGAGGCAAGGGUAGAGUGGACAGUGGAAGCUUUAUUAAAGGACAGCAGAAGAGACUUCUCCCCGGAGGAAGAAGGGGGCCCGGAAGGCGGAAUCCGUGGAAGGGGGAGUCUUCCCUGUUUUAUAGCUAAGAUCUUCCUUCAGCUUGCCCACCCUCCUGACCUUUGUUUCCCGUUAUCCUGAGUGAUAGAAUGCAGAAAAUCUCCAGCGACUCAAUCGACUGAGAAGUCUGAUGUCCCAGGCUGCUGCCCACAGCUGACCAGGAGUGAGAAAGCAUCCCGUCCAGUAGCCCAGGAGCGCAGGCUGCAUUCCUGCCCUUCCUCCAGGUGACCAGAGCACUGCUGGUGUCCAGGGACAUGUCAUCCUACUGAAGAGGAGAACUGGGCCUUUCUCCUCCCAAGAGGCUGCACAGGUACUUGGUUAUGAAAAGCAGAAUGUGUUGAUUUCUUCCAGGCUAUCAGUUGCUCUCGGUGGAGACGUUGCUUUGGUAACUGCUCCGUCUUGGGAUUUCCCAGCCACCACUGGUGAAUUAGAGCCACACUCUCACAACUCAGAAUCCUCUGUCACUCCCACUUGGAGUGAGGGAGCUUUGCUGUCCAGAGGGACAAGCUGGUCCCACCCCCGUCCACCACAGUGUCUGUGCUCCCGGGUACCAGCGGAUCCCACUGAAGUCUCUGAAAGCCUCCUCUGCAGCUGCUGGCCAUGGGCUUUGUUCUCUGCUGUGAGCCUCCUAUGGCCACAGCCCAUUGCUGGUCUGGCGCCCUGAGCAGGCGGGCCAGCUUGGAUGUUAGCAGUCAGGUGUCUUCUGUUACCGCCCAAGCUCACCGACAUGGCUCUCACGAUGGUGUCUCACUGAAUAUGCUUCUGUCCUGGGUGGAACCCCCUCCCCGUCUCAGGGAAGACUCCUCCAGUGCACCCCAUCCUUGGUGAAGUGGUAAAUUUUAAGUCACGUGUAUUUUGCUCCAAGCAGAAGGAAACAUGUCGCGUUGCCCUUACUCUCCAAGCACAGCUAAAGCAUUCCUGCCCCUUUUCAACCGUUGCUAUGGAAAUUGACCCUUGUGUGAAACCUCGUGGGCAAUGUACCCCACACACAAAGUGCCGCAGAGGAGUGCUGGCCAACUCAGGCAGUCACAAGUUGCUCCUAGACGCCGCACCACUGGCCCUCCUGAACUGCAGGCCACGCAGGGGCACUCUGGAGACUCCACAGAAAGGAGGCCCUGGAGGCCCCCGAUGCCCUCGCUGCUGUCAGCAGCCCCCACCCCAGCAGUGCUGAGCGCCUGGCGUCCCUCCCACAUGGAGGGUUGUGCCUCAGGAGGUCGCAAGGACCUCAAGGACACACACCCUGGUCUCAGCAGACAGCUGGGCCACUGUGGUCCGCGGAGAAAAAUGGCGAAAUUCGAGAUUCAGCAGGAGGAGGCCAGAAGGAGACGGGAGCGUUGAUGAAGAGCACCCACGUGAGGACUCGGCAGCCCGCACCCGACCACUCGCCUGUUUCAUCUCCUGUCUUCAAAGAGGCGCCAGGACGUGGGAGAGGAUGAAAGGGAAAGCGAUGAAAGAAAAUGGCACCACAGAGGCUUGAAGGGCUGAGACGGCGGAGGGGAGGCUGGGAGCCGGCUGGUGGCAGCCUGCAAGUCAGCUGCUCCCGUCUCAGGGACCCCACGCUCUCCUCCGCGCUCUGGAAGACAUGGCUCUAAAGAAGGGGGUGUGGCCCUGAUCCGGGUCUUCCCAGUGCACAAGCAGCUCUAGAGUCCCCAUCUCUGCACCUGCUGGGAAUCAGGGGCAGACAGGAGCGUGCAGGGCCCAGCCUCCCUCCUCACUCCUGGGCACUCAGACAAAAAGGCCUGUGUGUGUCCAAAGGGACAGGUGAAGGCCCACGAGGGCCCCUGAGCUGUGGACAUGGUCCUGCACCAUCAUGGAGAUGCGGGUUUAGCUGUGACAGCUUGUGAAUGGGCUGGAGUUCCCCUUGGCCCAGACCAGGGAGUCCCAGAGGAAACCUAUGCAGCUGUUCCCUGAUCUCCCGCCUCCUGCGGAGUCUUGUUUGCUCCCUGCAGGACAUUUGCACACUCUUUUCACACUGAGGCCAGGGAAGGUCUAAAGUCACAAGAGCUGGUUCCCAGACCAGGCUUCUGGCUCCAAGUUCCAGAACCUUCCACAAGUACACACUGACUGUUCCUCAUCAGUUCAGUCCAUCUGUCCUGACACGGCAGUGAGUCCAGCUGGGGCUGAGGAGUGAAGACAGUUUAAGGUGACUCAGAGAAACUCACUCCUCAGUGAAGACCUGUCCAGACGACAAACGGCUUUGGAACAACUUAGACGUGGAGGUGUGGGUAUUCUCGGGGGCCUUUCUCCUGCAAGUCCCAGUGUGGUCUUCUACCAUUGUGUGGAAAUAUGACGAGUGGUCACCUUGCAUCCUGUGCUUUUGGGGUACACUUUUCAAGUUUCUGUGUUCAAACAUUUUGAAAAUCAGAAGUGAUCACGUGUCCUGAGUUUCAGUUUGAAAGCCACAGUGUGCAAUAGUCACUUCCCUCAGAUUUCUACUGUGGAAAACAAAGCACAUAGCCCUCAAGGUCAGGGACAAAAGCAAAGGCCCCCACCCAGACCCUGACCACAGCUGAGGGCCACAUACCUCUCCCUCCUGCUCAGACAGCCCUGGCUCAAACGUCCUUGAGACACCUCCACAGGUUCAAGACUGAGCAGGGAAGUGGACCCCCAUAGGCCAGAGCGUGUAGAAGCCAAUGCUGAGCCAAGUGUCCCCAGACCUCGAGGCAGAGACUACAGCAGGUGCUAGUGCUGCAUCUUCAGGAAGCACCGGGGCCAGGGUGGCCAAACUAGAAGAUGGUAGAAGAGAGAAAUUCCUAGAGUGGGGCUGAGGGCCUUCCUCCAAGCAAACCCCUCCGUCCCCAGGGUGCAGCUGGCUCUGUUCUACAGGGCCAGUGACACUUAUGACAAGCCCCUGCUGCCACCUCCCUCAGGAGAAGCCACCGGCUGUCCAAGGCCAAGACAGCAUGGCACCCCUCCUGUCUCCCUGGGUUUCUGUGACUGCACAGCAGGCAUCCUGUACUGCUGAACCCCUGUGCUGGGGCAGGAGGCACUGCCAGGGUCCCAACAGGCCCUGUGCAUCACAAGACCUGGGCCCCAGGUUCUGCUCCCUCGGGUGUUGGCUGAGGGUCCUCCUGCUUCAGAUGCAGCCAUGUCUGGGUCCCCCUCAGUUGGGCUGCAGAAGGGGUGGACAGCAGGGCAGGGAGGGGGGAACAGUUUACCCCCUGAACAACUCCUGCACCUCCAGAUACUCAAAGAACAGCUUCUGAAUCAAGUUUAAAAACAGCUGCUCUUCUGAUGAUUUAAGUGAUGUCCUGAGUAUUUGCCUUGAGUGCACAGAGGGCCUGGGUGGGCUGGGACUUUGCCCAGGCAGGACCCUGGGAGACAAGGCUGCUGCACUCCCAGGAGGAGGUGUGCUUUACCUCUCAUCUCAUGUGAGGAGAAUCCAGGAGGUUUGGCAAUGUUGGCAGUGUCUGUAAAUGUUUGCAACAUCAUGUGACAAGGCCAGUUCAGGUGUCUACAAACUGCUGUGGCCCGAGCCCCCUGUGAUUGCCAUGCAGAACCUCGUUAAUCCUGCCACAGGUUGAGAUGUGUCCUCUGUAAGCCAACCAGACAUACAACCUGGAGUUGUUUCUAUCAUCAGAAGAUCAUUUUAACUAUAAUCCAUCAGGAUACAUUUUGAAAACUGGCCUCUGAUGAAGGAUUGGAUGGUAAUGCAGUGCCUGCUUUGAUCUGGAUAAAAUUUAACUUGCCUUAAUAAUCUUUUUCAAUUCCCAUCAAUGUUUCUCUGAGAAUGUUCUGUCUACUGUGAGUGUUGUUGAAACAUAAAACAGAAUUCACUGAGGCUGACAUUUCCCCCUCUGCUCAACUGGGCCAAGAAGCAUCUCAUUUGUUGCAUUAAAAAUAUUAAAAAUGGUUUCAAUAUGCAUUUCCCUGAUUGCUAGAAAUAUUGAACAUUUUUUAGUGUAUUUGUUGGCCAAUUAUAUUUCUUCUUUUCAGAA